UUAAGCAUAUCAAUAAGCGGAGGAAAAGAAAAUAACUAUGAUUCCCUUAGUAACGGCGAGUGAACAGGGAGAAGCCCAAAUUUGUAAUCUGGCACUUUUUACAGGUGUCCGAGUUGUAAUUUGUAGAACUGCUAUCCGUACUGGACCAUGUACAAGUCUGUUGAAAAGCAGCAUCAUUGAAGGUGAAAAUCCUGUAGAUGAUAUGGACUACCAGUAUAUUUGUGAUGCGGUUUCUAAGAGUCGAGUUGUUUGGGAAUGCAGCUCAAAGUGGGUGGUAAAUUCCAUCUAAGGCUAAAUAUGAGUGAGAGACCGAUAGCAUACAAGUACCGUGAGGGAAAGAUGAAAAGAACUUUGAAAAUAGAGUUAACAGUACGUGAAAUUGCUGAAAGGGAAACGUUUGAAGUUAGUUUUGUAUUCGUUGGAUCAGCUUCGCAAGGAGUGUAUUCCGAUGAUAGGCAAGUCAACAUCAAUCUAUGAGUGUUGGAUAAGGGUUUUGAGAACGUAGCAAUUCAGUUGUGUUAUAGCUCGAGACUUGGAUACGAUGCUUUGGAUUGAGGAACGCGUAGUAAGCUUUGAGCGGAUUCGAAAGGAUCUCCUUACUAUGGAUGUUGGUGAAAUAACUUUAAGCG
rnacentral:rRNA from 1 species